UACAGAGGUCUCAAGCGUUGUUCGGAUUCAUUGGGCGUAAAGGGUGUGUAGGCGGCGCCGUAAGUCGGGUGUGAAAUUUCGGAGCUUAACUCCGAAACUGCAUUCGAUACUGCGGUGCUUGAGGACUGGAGAGGAGACUGGAAUUCAUGGUGUAGCAGUGAAAUGCGCAGAUAUCAGGAGGAACACCGGUGGCGAAGGCGGGUCUCUGGGCCGAUACUGACGCUGAGGAGCGAAAGCGUGGGGAGCAAACAGG
rnacentral:rRNA from 1 species